UGUCGGGAAGUAGGCGGGGUGACGUGGGUCUGACGCGCUCCGCGGCGGGUUUGCGAGAUCUGGGGCUGGCGGCAGCUGGUGCUGGCUGGCGGCUGCCGAGAGCGAGCGGCGGAGCGGGGCGGUGUGUGGCCGGGGACAUGACGGGCAAUGCCGGGGAGUGGUGCCUCAUGGAAAGCGACCCCGGGGUCUUCACCGAGCUCAUUAAAGGAUUCGGUUGCCGAGGAGCCCAAGUAGAAGAAAUAUGGAGUUUAGAGCCUGAGAAUUUUGAAAAAUUAAAGCCAGUUCAUGGAUUGAUUUUUCUUUUCAAGUGGCAGCCAGGAGAAGAACCGGCAGGCUCUGUGGUUCAGGACUCCAGACUUGAUACAAUAUUUUUUGCCAAGCAGGUAAUUAAUAAUGCUUGUGCCACUCAAGCCAUAGUAAGUGUGUUGUUGAACUGUACCCAUCAAGAUGUCCAUUUAGGAGAGACGUUAUCAGAGUUUAAAGAAUUUUCACAAAGUUUUGAUGCAGCUAUGAAAGGCUUGGCACUGAGCAAUUCAGAUGUGAUUCGACAAGUACACAACAGUUUUGCCAGGCAGCAAAUGUUUGAAUUUGAUGCGAAGACAUCGGCCAAAGAAGAAGAUGCUUUUCACUUUGUCAGUUAUGUUCCUGUUAAUGGACGACUAUAUGAAUUAGAUGGAUUAAGAGAAGGACCGAUUGAUUUAGGUGCAUGCAAUCAAGAUGACUGGAUCAGUGCAGUGAGACCAGUCAUAGAAAAAAGGAUACAAAAGUACAGUGAAGGUGAAAUUCGAUUUAACUUAAUGGCCAUUGUGUCUGACAGAAAAAUGAUAUAUGAACAGAAGAUAGCAGAGUUACAAAGACAACUUGCAGAGGAGGAACCCAUGGAUACAGAUCAGGGUAGUAAUAUGUUAAGUGCUAUUCAAUCAGAAGUUGCCAAAAACCAGAUGCUUAUUGAAGAAGAAGUACAGAAAUUAAAAAGAUACAAGAUUGAAAAUAUCAGAAGAAAGCAUAAUUAUCUGCCUUUUAUUAUGGAAUUGUUAAAGACCUUAGCAGAACACCAACAAUUAAUACCACUAGUAGAAAAGAUAUUCUGAUAUAGGGGAAGGAAUCUUUAAUAAGUCCCCCAAGUGAUUCUAAUGCAACUGGUCUGUGUACCACAUUUUGAGAAACACUUUGAGAAGACACUACUAGGCAAAUAAAAUUUUGGACCAUUAAUUUAAAGACCAGACUACAUGGCAAAAGAAAAACAGAAUGCAAAGAAAGCUCAGGAAACCAAAUGAAGAAGAUUGUUUGACUGUGUUCACGUUUCUGCUUCUUCCACUGAUGUUCAUGGAAACCAUUAAGUAUACCGAACUUUGAGCAACAUCCUCAUUGAUUCAGUGCACGUUUGGCAGUAGUGCCAGUCUGUCUUGUCUUUAGUGCAUGGACUCAUAAACUUCUUCCCUAGCUGCAUCAUGUGCAUGUAAUGCAUAUUAAAUAAAGUGGUAAUAAGAGUGCUUGCCCAAAUUCCAUUAUUUGACAUUGGAACUGAGAACUGCUAGAUAUGUAUCAUACCAUAAGUAACUUACAAAGUGCAUAAAUGGUAUUCUUUAUCUGCAACUGUUGUACUUACAAUUUUCUGAUCUUUGUAUUCAGUUGCAUAGUUACAAUUUAUAAAUUGCAGAUCCCAACUAAACUGGAUGUCCUGUUAUCAUUAGUGGGAAAAAAAAUCAGCAUUUUUAUCUUUGAUAUAUGAGUGUUUUGAGGAUGUUAAAACAAAUUGUAUCUCCUAUAUCAAUUAUUUGAAAAAGUAUGAUUUUUAAGGCUGAUAAUUUGAAGUGAGCAAAAGUACAAUUUUCAUCACAAUUUUUGCAGACACUUCAGGUGUUUGGGGUUAAUCAUUUACGUAUUGUAGAGUUGUCCUGGGAAUGUCUGAGUACUAUGCUUCAGGUUAAGAAUAAAUUGUAAAUCUUAAAAUGUUUUGGUGUUACUUGCAGUUUGUCAACCUUUUUUUUUAAGUUGUUAAGCUGUGUCUAUUGAAAAUGGUUGACAAUUCAGGCUACCUGCUUUGAAGAAGUGACGGCAGUGGGGGAAUCCUUCUGUGCCAAUUUGAACAAAAUUAGUAUACCCGACACUUUUCUAGAGCCAUGUACAAUUUGCUUCACAGUGGAUUUUUUUAAUUGCUUUUAAGAGUUGCUUUUUUUUCUUAGAAAGUAAUGCUGUACUAUAUUCUUGUUCCUGAUCUUUUCCAAGGUAAACUUUAAAGGAAAUUUUAUAAAAGUUUUUAUAAGGAAAUCUACCUUUUUCUUUACCAAGCACGUAUUUGAAGCUGAUUCAUGACUUUUAAAACAUUUUAUUAUUUAUUGUAAAAUAAAUUUGACAUAAUUUAUUUUAUUAGGGAAAACUGUGUGCCCAUCUUUCAGCUUCAACACAUGAGUUUUUGAAGAUUAUUUUUAAGCUUACUAAUUGUGUAUUAAAUGACUUAAACUAAUGAAGGAAAAUUGGUGGUAAACUGAAUAGAAAAAUAAGCAAAAUAUUUUUUCACACAGAAUUUAAAUUGAUACUAAAGAGUAAUGUGUAGGUUUUCAGUUAUUUGUGGGUAAAUAUAUUUUGGUCUUGAUACAGUAGUAAUUAUGGAGUGUUUCAAAGCUGUGAUACAAUUUUUAAAAACAAUUUCCUAAGGCCUAUUUUAGGCUCAUGUUGAUCCCAUUAAUUUAUUUCAGUUUAAUUUGUAUAAUCUCUUUUAUUGAGGCUUAAAUUUUGUAAAACAAUGUAAGGGUUAUUAUAGUAAGUAGUACCCAGUAAUCAAUAUGCCAUGAUGCUGACGUAAGGAUCAACAAAUGAGCGAAGUAGAAAAGAGAGCCUAAAACAGAUUCACAUUUAUGUGAUCACUUGAAUUUCAACAAAGGUAGCAAAGGAAUCCAACAGGGAAGGAAACUCUUUUGAAAAAUGUAGCCAGAAUAGAAGAGCUGAAUAUCCACAUGGAAAACAAUGAACUAUGACCCCCUACCUCACAAAAGUUAAUUUUAGGUGCUUCAUAGACCUAAGGAUACCGCUAAAAAGUAUAUUGCUUUUCAGCAGAAUGCAUAGGUGGGUAUAUUUGUGACUGGAGAUAGCCCAAGGUUUCUUAGGUCACAGAAAGCAAUACUCAUAAAAGAUCCAAGAUUAGGGUUUGUCACUGAAAGACACUGUUAAUAAAAGUAACUAGUAUCAAAUAGCGUUUAAAAAAUAACUUUAUAAAACUACUGUAUUUAUAGAUACAGACAUUUUUGGUUAUUAAUCUAAUUCUACUAAAAUUUCCUGAUAGGAAUUUCCAUAGCUUUAGAAUGGUUUAUUUGCUGCUGCUUUGAUGAUUGCAAAUGCAUUGUUACACUUAAUGAUUAUUUCUGCCUGUGAAUAAAGAAAUAUGACUUGA